UGAAACACAUCUAUACAUAUAAUAAAAUCGUAGAAAAGUGCUGUCUGUACAUUGAAAAUAAAAAUAAAAAAAAUAGCAGGGGUUAUUGUUAUGUCGAUGUCGAACCCAAAAAUGUAAUUAACUUUUUUUUGUCUGUUUGUCUGUUUGUCUGUUUGUCUGUUUGUCUGUUCGUCUGUGCGCGCUAAUCUCAGAAACGGCUGAUCCGAGUUGGAUGCGGUUUUCACGAAUAUAUUGUGGGAUGCUUAAAUUUACAUUUAGUGUUUGUUUCAUGUCAAUCGGUUCAUAAAUAAAAAAGUUAUGUCAAAUUAAAGAAUCACGUCGAACAUUCUAUGCUUAUACCAUUAAUCUCCGCAACUAUUUGACGGAUUUGGUUGAAAUUUGGUACAGAUAUAGUUUAGAACCUUAGAAAGGACAUAGAUAUAUUUUUAUUUCAAAAAUCAAAAAAUAAAAAUAAGAAAUAAAUUAUUUAUAAAUAAUUCUAUGUCGAUCGUUACACGACUUCGGUUCAUGUUAUUGUUUUAAUUUAUCUAAAAAAAGUAAAUAAAUAGUAAAAAGGUAUGAAAAAAAUAAUAUCAAUAUAAUUAAACUUUUAGUACAAAGAAAAU